rnacentral:rRNA from 1 species
ACUCCUACGGGAGGCAGCAGUAGGGAAUCUUCCACAAUGAGCGCAAGCCUGAUGGAGCAACACCGCGUGAGUGAAGAAGGGUUUCGGCUCGUAAAGCUCUGUUGUUAAAGAAGAACACGUAUGAGAGUAACUGUUCAUACGUUGACGGUAUUUAACCAGAAAGUCACGGCUAACUACGUGCCAGCAGCCGCGGUAAUACGUAGGUGGCAAGCGUUAUCCGGAUUUAUUGGGCGUAAAGAGAGUGCAGGCGGUUUUCUAAGUCUGAUGUGAAAGCCUUCGGCUUAACCGGAGAAGUGCAUCGGAAGCUGGAUAACUUGAGUGCAGAAGAGGGUAGUGGAACUCCAUGUGUAGCGGUGGAAUGCGUAGAUAUAUGGAAGAACACCAGUGGCGAAGGCGGCUACCUGGUCUGCAACUGACGCUGAGACUCGAAAGCAUGGGUAGCGAACAGGAUUAGAUACCCUGGUAGGAUAGCG